rnacentral:rRNA from 1 species
UACAGAGGGGGCAAGCGUUGUUCGGAAUUACUGGGCGUAAAGCGUACGCAGGCGGCUAUGUAAGACAGGUGUGAAAUCCCCGGGCUUAACCUGGGAACUGCAUUUGUGACUGCAUAGCUAGAGUCUGUCAGAGGGGGGUGGAAUUCCACGUGUGAGCAGUGAAAAUGCGUAGAGAUGUGGAGGAACACCGAUGGCGAAGGCAGCCCCCUGGGAUAAGACUGACGCUCAUGUACGAAAGCGUGGGGAGCAAACAGG